CCUACGGGAGGCAGCAGUGAGGAAUAUUGGUCAAUGGACGCAAGUCUGAACCAGCCAUGCCGCGUGCAGGAAGACGGCUCUAUGAGUUGUAAACUGCUUUUGUACGAGGGUAAACGCAGAUACGCGUAUCUGUCUGAAAGUAUCGUACGAAUAAGGAUCGGCUAACUCCGUGCCAGCAGCCGCGGUAAUACGGAGGAUUCAAGCGUUAUCCGGAUUUAUUGGGUUUAAAGGGAGCGUAGGCGGUCGGCUAAGUUAGAGGUGAAAUCCCGAGGCUCAACUUCGGAAUUGCCUCUGAUACUGUUCGGCUAGAGAGUAGUUGCGGUAGGCGGAAUGUAUGGUGUAGCGGUGAAAUGCUUAGAGAUCAUACAGAACACCGAUUGCGAAGGCAGCUUACCAAGCUACUUCUGACGUUGAGGCACGAAAGCGUGGGUAGCAAACAGGAUUAGAUACCCGUGUAGUC
rnacentral:rRNA from 1 species